CUGGCUCAGCCUUCCCAGUAGCUGGGAUUAUAGACGCGUGCCACCAUGCCCAGGAAUAUCUGGGUCCAAAGAAAAUGUUCUGUAGAGAGAAGGGAAGAAAAUAAGCAUUUGUUGAGAACCAAGUGUCAGAGCUAAUACAUGGUAGCAAAUGCUGCCCUGCCUGUAUCUCCUCGGCCACCUGAAGUCACCUGCAGACAGCACCUUUAGGAAGGUGGCUUCCUUCAUCUCUGCCUAAUGACAUUUCCUGGAUAACGAGCACUCGUUCACAUAGGGGCAGUUCCAAGGCACUUCCUCAUCCUGUAACCGAAUGGCAGGUCACGGCUGGACUCAGAGCUCUCCAAUGGCUCCCAUCUCAGAGUCAAAGCUGAGGUCCUGCUGAAGCGGCGUCACUAUCUGGGGCAAAUACCCGAGGUUUCCUGUCUCACGCCAGGGAAAUUGAAGACACGGACACACAAGAAACUUUGGAGUUUGCUGAAAUGUAACCUCAGAAUAAGUGGGGUGUGACUGCCCUCUCUCCUUUGAGGGAAAAGAAAAAGUAUUUUCAGGCCGGGUACGGUGGCUCAUGCUUAUAAUCCCAGCACUGUGGGAGGCUGAGAAUACAUCAAUAAAAGAAGAACAAUUUAAGAGAAACAGGAAAUUCACAGAAGAGGAAACCGGAAUUGUCAUAAACAAAUGAAAAAUGCUCAACCUCACUAG